AUAUCAAGAUGAAUUAAUGAGGACUCGAAAUAUGGAAAUACUCUCUCUUUCUCGCCAUAGAAAAAAAGGGGGAAAGAAAAGAACAACGAACUCCUCUCUUUCUCGCCAGCUCAACCGAAAGCUACUUUCUUCUCAAUGAUUGAACAUUUUGUGUGCGCAAAAGAAUUUUGACUUGUUUUUUUUCGGAGUUAUUAAUUGGUUGACUCAACCUCCUUUUUCUUACUUUCCUUGUAAAACUGUGCAGUUUUGCGAGUCAAGAUUUACUUCCUCCGGAUAUAUAAAGGAUGCCAGGAAGUCAUCCAAUGCAUAACUUUAGCCUUUUCAUUAGUAAUGGCAAAGCUCCUUUCUAUAGCAGUAUCUGCACUAUUUAUAAUCCGAUUGCUUGAGCUUGAGAUUGUGUUAGCUCACUCUUCAACCGGACCACACAGGCCAACAUUGCCAAUAAAAGGUAACUUUGAUUGCCCUACUACUCCCUUACUUCAGCAGUAUGUCCAUAUACAAUAACAAAGGGUAUUGAUUCAAUUGCUUCUGACUUUAUCAAUAACACUCUGUUUUCCCAGAAAUUCAGGAAGUACAGAAAACCCAUUUUGAUAAGCGGCUUCGAUUAGCUCGGAUUGUUAGGAAAGAUCAAAUGGCUAUGCGUCGUCUUUGGGGCAUGGGUAGGGCGUCUGAUCACCCAAUAAAGUUUCCAUUUCCUCCUACAGCACGUCCUGGCGGACACCCCUAGCCCUAGUAUCGUGUCUCUUCUUUUAAGAAGCCCUCUUCAUGGGCAUCGGUUGAUUGAAUCUUACAUAGGAAAUGGGAUAGAUUGCUCACAUACCAAUUUGUAAUGGCUCGUCUCCUCCUCAAUAAUGCUAGCCUGUUAAAGUUAAUGCUAAACUGUAUAAGGCAAGUGUUCCCCCUUUAUGUCCUUUACUUGUCUAGAAUUGUAUGGCAACUAGUUACUUUUGUGUUUGUGUGUGUGUGGCUUUGGUUAAAACUUAAAAAACAAUAGAAAUAUCUACGGUGAUCCUUUUCAUUUUUGUAUUUUUUUUCUCUCUUAGCCUUUGUCCUUGUAAUUGUGCUGCUUUGUUUGUCAACAGACUUCCUAAUUUCGGCACGAUAGAGAGAGAAAGGAAGCAUCCUCUGGAUAUAAGAUGCCCUGUAGGAAGGCAUCCCAUGCAUAAACCUAGCUACCUCCUUAUUAAUGACUGGCAACCUCCUCUCUAACAUUCUCUUUAGACCUUCUACCUUCUUCUCUAUUGGGAAAGAUUGCGAAAAAUCAAAGAACCAAUAAAUAAAUAUGGCA
rnacentral:lncRNA from 1 species